rnacentral:rRNA from 1 species
UUGUAAAANUUAAAAAGUAAGUUCUGCCCUAUGAUUAUUUAAAUGGCUGCAGUAUCUUGACUGUGCAAAGGUAGCAUAAUAAUUAGUCUUUUAAUUGGAGGCUUGUAUGAAUGGAUAAAUGGGGAUUAAUUUUAUUUUAAAAAUUUUUAAAAUUUGAUUUUUAUGUAAAAAAGCUUAAUUUUUUUUUUGGGACGAUAAGACCCUAUAGAACUUUAUUUUUUUAUUUAUAUGAAUUUGUUUAGGUUUAAUUUUUUUUUUAUAUUUAAAAUAGUUUUGUUGGGGUGGCAGAUAAAUUUGACUUUAUUUUUUUUAUUCAUAAUUAGUGUUUAUUUUGAUCCAUUAAGUGAUUAUAAGAUUUAGUUACCUUAGGGAUAACAGCGUAAUUUUAAUGGGGAGUUCUUAUUUAUAUUAAAGUUUGCGACCUCGAUGUUGAAUUAAGAUAAGAUUGAGGGGUAG